CCUACGGGAGGCAGCAGUGGGGAAUUUUCCGCAAUGGGCGGAAGCCUGACGGAGCAAUACCGCGUGAGGGACGAAGGUCUGUGGAUUGUAAACCUCUUUUGUUAGGGAAGAUAAUGACGGUACCUAACGAAUAAGCAUCGGCUAACUCCGUGCCAGCAGCCGCGGUAAGACGGAGGAUGCAAGCGUUAUCCGGAAUUAUUGGGCGUAAAGCGUACGUAGGCUGUUAGAUAAGUCUGUUGUCAAAGAGCGAGGCUUAACCUCGUAAAGGCAAUGGAAACUGUCUGACUAGAGAGAGAAAGGGGCAGGAGGAAUUCCAGGUGUAGCGGUGAAAUGCGUAGAUAUCUGGAAGAACACCAGUGGCGAAAGCGUCCUGCUGGAUCUCAACUGACGCUGAAGUACGAAAGCUAGGGGAGCGAAUGGGAUUAGAUACCCCAGUAGUCCUAGCCGUAAACGAUGGGUACUAGGUGUUGGCCGUAUCGACCCGGGUCAGUGCGUACGCUACGUACGUACGUACCCGUCCGUCGGGUAGGUACGGUCGCGAGAUAGUAACGUUAAAGUAAGUAGUAGUACGCGNGAGAGCGACGACGACGACGACGGAGGAGGAG
rnacentral:rRNA from 1 species